AAGCGAAACGGCAGCGUGCGAAAGCGGCCGCCGUCAUCCGGGCGCGGCGUCCCGGGUCUGAAGAGCCAGCCAAAG
rnacentral:hammerhead_ribozyme from 1 species